rnacentral:lncRNA from 1 species
CAAAUUCCCCAACCCCAUCUCCAAGAGGGUGUCCCCACACCCUGCCAGGCCUCCCCAUUUCCUGAGGCCUCAAGGUUAGGUGUGUUUUCUCUCAUUGAGGCCAGACCAGGCAGUCCUCUGCUGUAUAUCUGUCAGGGACCUUGGACUAGCUAGUAUAUGCUGCCUGGUUGGUAGCUCAGUGUCAGAGAUCUCAGGUGUCAGGGUUUGUUGAGACUAUGGGGUCUUCAGAUCAUUGGAUGUAAGUAUAGGCUUCUAGCUGAGUCAGCUGCUGGUAAAACCUCUUGGAGGGCAGCCAUGCUAGACCCCUAUCAUGCAUGUCCUUUUGGGACUGAGAUACCUCACUUAGGAUAAUUUUUUUAAACAUUUAUUUAUUUAUUAUGUAUGCAUCAUAUAGCUUUCUGCCUGCAUGUAUGCAACUAUAGGCCAGAAAAGGCACCAGACCUGGUUAUAGGUGGUUGUGAGCCACCAUGUGGUUGCUGGGAAUUGAACUCAGGACCUCUGGAAGAGCAGUCAGUGCUCUUAACCUCUGAGCCAUCUCUCCAGCCCCAAUAUUUUUUUUAAAGGUUUAUUUUAUGUAUAUGAGUUCUGUAGCUGUCUUCAGACACACCUGAAGAGGGCAUCAGAUCCCAUUACAGAUGGUUGUGAGCCACCAUUGUGGUUGCUGGGAAUUGAACUCAGGACCUCUGGAAGAGUGGUCAAUGAGCCAUCUCUCCAGCCCAGGAUAAUAUUUUGUAAUUCCAUCCAUUUAGCCUGCAAACCUCAUGAUGUUCUCGUGCCCUUGUGGCAUGAUGGGGCAUCUUUUGGGUGUAUGCCCAGGAGUGGUAUAGCUAGGUCUUCAGGUAGAUCUAUUUCCAGUUUUCUGAGGAACCUCCAGAUUGAUUUCCAGAGUGGUUGCACCAAUUUGCAAUCCCACCAGCAAUAGAAGUGUUCCUCUCUCCACAUCCAUGCCAACAUAUGCUGUCACAUGAGUUUUUUAUCUUAGCCAUUCUGAUUGGUAUAAGGUGAAAUCUUAGGGUCAUUUUGAUUUGCAUUUUCCUGAUCACUAAGGACUUUGAACAUUUCUUUAGAUGCUUCUCAGCCGUUUGAGAUUCCUCUGUUGUGAAUUUUUGGGUUAGUUUUAUAACACAUUUUUUGAUUGAAUUGUUUUGGGGGUUUUUGUUGUUGUUGUUUGGGUUUUUUUUGGGGGGGGGUUCUUUUGUUUUUGAGGUUAGCUUCUUGGGUUCUUUAUAUAUUUUGGAUAUUAGCCCUCUAUCAGAUGUGGGGUUAGUUAAGACUUUUUUUCCCAAUCUGUAGGUUGCCAGAAAUCCAAUCAUCUUUAAUUUCCUAUUCCUCAGAUAUCGUGGAAAAGUAUAUAUUGUUCUAUGCUGUUCCUGGGCACUGAGUAUCUAAUCUACACAGUGAUUCUUGGCAUAAGCUACAAUGAACCCUACAUUCUCUUACUGGUGAUUAUUAAAUUUUAUUGUGUACAUAUGUAUGUAUUAGCUUAACCCAAAUAAAGGUAAUAUUUUCCUACUAAAGUGCAAACC